rnacentral:rRNA from 1 species
CCGGCGCACGGGUGCGUAACGCGUAUGCAAUCUACCUUUUACAGAGGGAUAGCCCAGAGAAAUUUGGAUUAAUACCUCAUAGUAUUAUGAAAUGGCAUCAUUUUAUAAUUAAAGUCACAACGGUAAAAGAUGAGCAUGCGUCCCAUUAGCUAGUUGGUAAGGUAACGGCUUACCAAGGCUACGAUGGGUAGGGGUCCUGAGAGGGAGAUCCCCCACACUGGUACUGAGACACGGACCAGACUCCUACGGGAGGCAGCAGUGAGGAAUAUUGGACAAUGGGCGCAAGCCUGAUCCAGCCAUGCCGCGUGCAGGAUGACGGUCCUAUGGAUUGUAAACUGCUUUUAUACGAGAAGAAACACUCCUUCGUGAAGGAGCUUGACGGUAUCGUAAGAAUAAGGAUCGGCUAACUCCGUGCCAGCAGCCGCGGUAAUACGGAGGAUCCAAGCGUUAUCCGGAAUCAUUGGGUUUAAAGGGUCCGUAGGCGGUUUGGUAAGUCAGUGGUGAAAGCCCAUCGCUCAACGGUGGAACGGCCAUUGAUACUGCCAGACUUGAAUUAUUAGGAAGUAACUAGAAUAUGUAGUGUAGCGGUGAAAUGCUUAGAGAUUACAUGGAAUACCAAUUGCGAAGGCAGGUUACUACUAAUGGAUUGACGCUGAUGGACGAAAGCGUGGGUAGCGAACAGGAUUAGAUACCCUGGUAGUCCACGCCGUAAACGAUGGAUACUAGCUGUUGGGAGCAAUCUCAGUGGCUAAGCGAAAGUGAUAAGUAUCCCACCUGGGGAGUACGUUCGC